rnacentral:rRNA from 1 species
GAUGAACGCUGGCGGCGUGCCUAAUACAUGCAAGUCGAGCGAACAGACGAGGAGCUUGUUCCUUUGACGUUAGCGGCGGACGGGUGAGUAACACGUGGAUAACCUACUUAUAUGACUGGGAUAAUUUCGGGAAACCGGAGCUAAUACCGGAUAAUAUAUUGAACCGCAUGGUUCAAUAGUGAAAGACGGCUUUGCUGUAUGUUAUAGCUGGUUCCGCGCUGCAUUAGCUAGUUGGUAAGGUAACGGCUUACCAAGGCAACGAUGCGUAGCCGACCUGAGAGGGUGAUCGGCCACACUGGAACUGAGACACGGUCCAGACUCCUACGGGAGGCAGCAGUAGGGAAUCUUCCGCAAUGGGCGGAAGCCUGACGCAGCAACGCCGCGUGAGUGAUGAAGGUCUUCGGAUCGUAAAGCCCUGUUAUUAGGGAAGAACAGAUGUGUAAGUAACUAUGCACGUCUUGACGGUACCUAAUCAAAAAGCAACGGCUAACUACGUG